GACUGUAGGGACAGACUCCCAAUUAGACUGAGUUCUGGGUGUCGACUGGGCCAAUAUAGCAGUACAUAAAUCGUUUUUAUGUAAACUAUUUUAUUAUAAAUCUAACUUUAUGUUCUGAGUCUUUGUCAUGUUGGAAGGUGGACCGCCACCUCAGAGGGAAAUCUUUUGAAGGAUCUACCUGGUCUUCUUCCAGAGUUGUCUUGUAUUUAACUCUUCCUGCCUGGUUUUGUUAAGUUUAAAUCACAAGAUUCUUGAAGCUGUGAUUAUUGUACAUUUUUUAGCAGACAUUUUCCUUCUACUUAGCUUUCUGUGAAUAUUCUUGAAUAGAGAGCAGUUGGAUUCUUUAGCAAUGAUUAUUUUUAGGCUUAUCCUGCUUGUGUGCUUGGUGUCAAAGACUAUUUGCUGGGCAAAAAUCAAGUCAACAUUCUUCUAUGUUUGUAUAGGAGGUAAGACUGUCACGUUUUGUUGGCUGUAAAGUUAGUCAAAGCUAACAAAAUGGAUAUAUAAAAAUCUAAGUGUUACAUUAGACUGUAAACUAUAUAAAAUAUGUUAUAUUUUUACAUUUGUGUUAAUAACACAAUGCUGAGGUGUUUUAAUCCAAUGUAAAACCAUGAGAAUCUCCAUAGCAGCCCAUUGCCUAGAAUCAGCAGGUUGCGUUGCGGUUUAUUGUCUGAAGCUUGCACAGUGCUGUUCUGCGAAAUAAAAACGAGCAACUGGCUGUAUGUUACUGAGGGUUCAGGCAGCUGUGAAGCACAGAUGCUUUGUGCUGCAGCUAAUUCUCUCUGAAGUCAGCGUGCUUUCCCUCAGGGCACAUUUUACCUUUGUGUUUUGAUUUAGUUGUGCUUUAAUUUAGCAGAUAUAUUUAGCAGCUGAAUUCCCCCAGCUAGGGCGGAAAGCAGGUGGUCGUGCACUGGUGGACUGGUGACAUCACGAUGUGAGCUUGUCAUGCUGAGAUAAAGUCCCAGGCCCUCAGGGCUAAACAAUGAAGCGUGAGAGUGUAACCCAGGUUGAAAUAGCCUCUUCAUAAAAAUAAUAGUAAAUUAGAUAAAUAGGAAAUAAAUAAAUAGGAGAAUAAAUAGGGAAUUAAUCGAUCUUAAAAUUGUUAAAAAUAUAUAUAUAUACAUAAAAAGAGCAACAAUUAGAGACAAUAAAAUUGCUGUAUUUUGAUUUUUUUUGAUAUUUUAAUUGAUUAGAGAAACUGUAUAAACCAGUUUUGCUUUGUCAAGCGAACUCUCUUAUUCUGAAGGGUUACAUUUAUGUGUAAUCCAUGUGACUAAAUUCAGCCAAUCGGGUUGCUGCGCUCUCUGACGUGAGAGAGAGAGAAGAAGCAGAGAGCGUAAAGCAAGCAGAGAGCGCAGAAGCAAACGGGAUUGUGCUGG